AGCCAUGCAUGUCUAAGUAUANGCAACUAUACAGUGAAACUGCGAUGGCUCAUUAAAUCAGUUAUCGUUUAUUUGAUAGUACCUUACUACUUGGAUAACCGUGGUAAUUCUAGAGCUAAUACAUGCUAAAAAUCCCGACCUCCGGAAGGGAUGUAUUUAUUAGAUAAAAAACCAAUGCCUUCGGGCUCCUUGGUGAUUCAUGAUAACUUAACGAAUCGCAUGGCCUUGCGCCGGCGAUGGUUCAUUCAAAUUUCUGCCCUAUCAACUUUCGAUGGUAGGAUAGUGGCCUACCAUGGUUUCAACGGGUAACGGGGAAUUAGGGUUCGAUUCCGGAGAGGGAGCCUGAGAAACGGCUACCACAUCCAAGGAAGGCAGCAGGCGCGCAAAUUACCCAAUCCCAAUUCGGGGAGGUAGUGACAAUAAAUACUGAUACAGGGCUCUUUUGGGUCUUGUAAUUGGAAUGAGUACAAUUUAAAUCCCUUAACGAGGAACAAUUGGAGGGCAAGUCUGGUGCCAGCAGCCGCGGUAAUUCCAGCUCCAAUAGCGUAUAUUAAAGUUGUUGCAGUUAAAAAGCUCGUAGUUGAACCUUGGGUUUGGCUGCUCGGUCCGCCUAACCGCGUGCACUGAUGCGGCCGGAUCUUUCCUUCUGGCUAACCUCAUGCCCUUUACUGGGUGUGCUGGGGAUCCAGGACUUUUACUUUGAAAAAAUUAGAGUGUUCAAAGCAGGCCUUUGCUCGAAUACAUUAGCAUGGAAUAAUAGAAUAGGACGGAGGUUCUAUUUUGUUGGUUUCUAGAGCCACCGUAAUGAUUAAUAGGGACAGUCGGGGGCAUCAGUAUUCAAUUGUCAGAGGUGAAAUUCUUGGAUUUAUUGAAGACUAACUACUGCGAAAGCAUUUGCCAAGGAUGUUUUCAUUAAUCAGUGAACGAAAGUUAGGGGAUCGAAGACGAUCAGAUACCGUCGUAGUGCUUAACCAUAAACUAUGCCGACUAGGGAUCGGGCGGUGUUCAACUUAUGACCCGCUCGGCACCUUACGAGAAAUCAAAGUUUUUGGGUUCUGGGGGGAGUAUGGUCGCAAGGCUGAAACUUAAAGGAAUUGACGGAAGGGCACCACCAGAUGUGGAGCCUGCGGCUUAAUUUGACUCAACACGGGGAAAACUCACCAGGUCCAGACACAUUAAGGAUUGACAGAUUGAGAGCUCUUUCUUGAUUAUGUGGGUGGUGGUGCAUGGCCGUUCUUAGUUGGUGGAGUGAUUUGUCUGCUUAAUUGCGAUAACGAACGAGACCUUAACCUGCUAAAUAGCCAGGCUAGCUUUUGCUGGUCGCCGGCUUCUUAGAGGGACUAUCGGCUCAAGCCGAUGGAAGUUUGAGGCAAUAACAGGUCUGUGAUGCCCUUAGAUGUUCUGGGCCGCACGCGCGCUACACUGACAGAGCCAACGAGUAUAAACCUUAACCGAGAGGUUUGGGUAAUCUUGUUAAACUCUGUCGUGCUGGGGAUAGGGCAUUGCAAUUAUUGCCCUUCAACGAGGAAUAUCUAGUAAGCGCAAGUCAUCAGCUUGCGUUGAUUACGUCCCUGCCCUUUGUACACACCGCCCGUCGCUACUACCGAUUGAAUGGCUCAGUGAGGCNUUCGGACUGGCUCCAGUGGAUCGGCAAGUUCUUCAGGAGCCGGAAA
rnacentral:rRNA from 1 species